GCCCGCUUGGCUCAGUGGUAGAGCGUGUCACUAGUAACUGUCCUUCGCAAGAAGUUCUCGGUCACAUGACAAGGUCGCCAGUUCGAUUCUGGUAGUGGGCA